CCAGGAGCAUCCAUCUUCUCUUGGAUCAUCCCUCUAAUCCUCAAUAUCCACCCUAUUCCAGGGCAUCCAUCCCACUUUGGAUCAUUCAUCCUUUUCCAGAGCUUCCAUCCCACCUUGGACCUUCCAUCCCACCUAGAACGUCCCUUCAAACCUGAAGCAUCCAUCCCACCUUGGAUUAUCCUUUUCUGGAGCAUCCACCCAUCAUUGGAACAUCUAUUCCACUUGGAUCAUCCAUCCCACCUAGAACAUCCCUUCCAUCCUGGAGUAUCCAUCCCAUCCUGGAUCACCCACCUCACUUUGGAUCAUCCAUCCCACCUUGGAACAUCCAACCCAUCCUUAAGCUUCCAUCCCACCUGGAUCAUCCAACCCAUCCUGGAGCAUCCAUCUUACCUUGGAUCAUCCAUCCUUUUCCAGAGCUUCCAUCCUACCUUGGAACAUCCAUCCCACCUGAAGCAUCCAUCCUACCUUGGAACAUCCAUCCCACCUUGGAACUUCCAUCCCUUUCCAGAGCUUCCAUCCCAUCCUGGAGUGUCCAUCUCAUCUGAGAGCAUCCAUCUCACCUUGGAUGAUCCAUCCCACCUCAAGCAUCCAUCCCAC
rnacentral:lncRNA from 1 species